CCAGGAUCUUAACUACUAGACACCUCUAGUAUUCUAAUAGAGUGUUAAUGGCAUUGGCAACACAGGGUAUGAGAAAUAACCUCAAUUUAAGUUAUUUUGUGGCAUCAGAACACAGUGCCAUUUAUGCUUUCUGUAAAAAUAUCCUUUGUAUCUUCCAGCUUCUGGCACUACUGACUUUGGAUCUGUGGGCAGUAUUUGGAUCAAGAGCAGUACUGUUACAGAUUGAAAACUCAGGGAGACGCACACACAUGUUAGUUUCAGACUUCUGUGUUCCUGAGGAUUGCUUUAACUUGUGAUCUCCCUGGCCCUGCCUCCCCAGGGCUGGAUUUGUAGAAAUGCACAACCAUGCCUGGUUCAUGUGUGCUGAGGACCAAUCCCAGGGUUCUAUGCAUGCUGGGUGCUGAUGACUGAACACUUAGACUCACACAUCAUAUGUGGGUAAGCUCUCCCAUCUACCACCUAGCUUCAGGUUUGUCAGCCAUCUCUCCACAUACACAUUAAGCAUUUGAAAAUAGACACUGCUGA
rnacentral:lncRNA from 1 species